CCAUACUCCCUAACGGAGAGCUAUCGGCAACGGUAGAGCAGCGUGACAGAAAAUAACCGCCGGGUAUCCCGGCAAGGGUGAAAAGGUGAGGUAAGAGCUCACCGGACGCCAUGGCGACAUGGUGUGCCGCACGUCUUAUGGGUUGCAAGGUCAAGUAUACCGGCAUUUAAGGAUUGCUCGUCCAUUGCCGGGGGGUAGACCGCUAAAGCCAUCCGGCAACGUAUGGCUCAGAUAAAUGACGGAUGCCGGCAUUCAACUCCGCUUCGGCGGAAAAUGAUGCAGGUACAUAACCCGGCUUAUAGUCCGGCCCGAUUU
rnacentral:RNase_P_RNA from 1 species